AAUAAGAAAUACCCAAGUUAAUAAGUUGAGGAAAAAAAAAAAAAAGAAAAACGUUCUCUCAACUCUUAGGAUUACUGGUGGAUUUUUGCCCAUCACCUUGGUUGGCCAUUCUUUUGUAGAUCCAAUUGAUAGGAUAUAAUUGCCCACUUAAACAUACAAAACCCAGUACCAUCCAUCCCUUAGGAACAUUGAUAACAACAUAUAAAUACACAGAGCAGAAUCUUAAUGUCACCUGCCAUAUUGUUCUGCCAAGCCUUCUCUCCCUUUCCUAUCUCUCCUGUCUCCUCCUUUUUGUUCUAUUUUCCUCCUCUUCCUUCAAACUUCUCUCCCACCCAUCUUUCCUUCUCAUCCAAUGACAGGCCUCCUUCUAUCUUGUGCCUGCCUCAUCUGUGACAUCAUCCUACAAAUGAUAAUGUAGUAGAACAAGGGGGCUGUGUUCCAGCUCCUGCAAGCCGCAGAACUCAACAGUCUCAGCCAUGUGUCUCUGGCUUUAUAUUCAAGAGAGGAAGGAGACAAUUUAUCCUGGUUAGCUGGGUCUGUUCCCAGGUGCUUCUUUUGGGCGAAGAUGUAGAAGUCAUCUCCUUCUGAACCAUGCCUGUUUGGAUGCUGCCAUGCUCCUGCCUUGAUGAUAAUGAACUGAACCUCUGAACCUGCUCACUGUUCAAGGAUCAAAGAGACCAGAGGACACUGCAGAGGACAUGAUGGCUGCUUGAAUUUUGGAGCAUCCAACCCUCUGAAUGUCACUUAGUCUUUACUGUCUCUUCCACAGAGUAACAUCGUGACUGUACAAUCCUGACAGAAGGAAUAUGAUGCCAAUUAUCUGAGGAAUGGAUGACUCAGGACUGGAGUCAUCCCAUGAAGAUGUCUUGGUGACUCUGGUGUGCAUUUGGCUUAUUUAAAAUGCUAGCUUCUUCAUCUGGCUUCUAUACCUUUAUUUUUCUAUCAGAGAUAUCAAGAACCCUAAGAAAUUUCCAGGAUUGUCAAUCUUGUGGGGUAAAGGAGAACACAACCCCCCACCAUUAUUUCUCACCUUGGUAAUUCAACAGGGUAUCUUAUAUUAAUAA